rnacentral:SRP_RNA from 2 species
GCUGGGUGUGGUGGCGCUUGCCUGUAGUCCCAGCUACUCAGGAGGCUGAGACAGGAGAAUCGCUUGAACCCAGGAGGUGGAAGUUGCAGUGAGCCGAGAUCGCGCCACUGCACUCCAACCUGGGUGGCAGAGCGAGACUCUGUCUCAA